GACGAACGCUGGCGGCGUGCCUAACACAUGCAAUUCGAACGGAAGCAAAGAUUUCGGUUUUUGCUUUAGUGGCGAACGGGUGAGUAACGCGUGAGGAACCUGCCUUUCAGUGGGGGACAACAGUUGGUAACGACUGCUAAUACCGCAUAAUGCUUUUGAGUGGCAUCACUUAAAAGUCAAAGAUUUAUUGCUGAAAGAUGGCCUCGCGUCUGAUUAGCUGGUUGGCGGGGUAACGGCCCACCAAGGCGACGAUCAGUAGCCGGUCUGAGAGGAUGAACGGCCACAUUGGGACUGAGAUACGGCCCAGACUCCUACGGGAGGCAGCAGUGGGGAAUAUUGGGCAAUGGGGGAAACCCUGACCCAGCAACGCCGCGUGAAGGAAGAAGGCCUUCGGGUUGUAAACUUCUUUUACCAGGGGCGAAAGAAAUGACGGUACCUGGAGAAAAAGCAACGGCUAACUACGUGCCAGCAGCCGCGGUAAUACGUAGGUUGCGAGCGUUGUCCGGAUUUACUGGGUGUAAAGGGCGUGUAGGCGGAGAUGCAAGUUGGGAGUGAAAUCCAUGGGCUCAACCCAUGAACUGCUUCCAAAACUGUAUCCCUUGAGUAUCGGAGAGGCAAGCGGAAUUCCUAGUGUAGCGGUGAAAUGCGUAGAUAUUAGGAGGAACACCAGUGGCGAAGGCGGCUUGCUGGGCCAUCACUGACGCUGAGACACGAAAGCGUGGGGAGCAAAUAGGAUUAGAUACCCUAGUAGUCCACGCCGUAAACGAUGGAUACUAAGUGUCGGGUUACCGGUGCUGAAGUUAACACAUUAAGUAUCCCACCUGAGUAGUACGGUCGCAAGGCUGAAACUCAAAGGAAUUGACGGGCACCCGCACAAGCGGUGGAGCAUGCUGUUUAAUUCGAAGAUACGCGAAGAACCUUACCUGGGCUUGACAUCCCAGUGAAAGCUUUUGAAAACAAGAGCCCUCCCUUCGGGGACACUGGUGACAGGUGGUGCAUGGUUGUCGUCAGCUCGUGUCGUGAGAUGUUGGGUUAAGUCCCGCAACGAGCGCAACCCUUAUCUUUAAUUGCUAACAUUAAGUUGAGAACCUUAAAGAGACUGCCGGUGACAAACCGGAGGAAGGUGGGGAUGACGUCAAAUCAUCAUGCCCCUUACGUCCAGGGCUACAGGCGUGCUACAAUGGCUAGUAUAAUAAGACGCGAAACCGUGAGAUGGAGCAAAUCUCGAAAGCUAGUCCCAGUCCGGAUUGGAGUCUGCAACUCGACUCCAUGAAGUUGGAAUCGCUAGUAAUCCCGAAUCAGAAUGUCGGGGUGAA
rnacentral:rRNA from 1 species